rnacentral:piRNA from 1 species
CAAAACGAAUUGUGGUUUUUCUCAGACCC